CUGAACCAGCCAAGUAGCGUGAAGGAUGACUGCCCUAUGGGUUGUAAACUUCUCUUAUAAAGGAAUAAAGUCGGGUAUGCAUACCCGUUUGCAUGUACUUUAUGAAUAAGGAUCGGCUAACUCCGUGCCAGCAGCCGCGGUAAUACGGAGGAUCCGAGCGUUAUCCGGAUUUAUUGGGUUUAAAGGGAGCGUAGAUGGAUGUUUAAGUCAGUUGUGAAAGUUUGCGG
rnacentral:rRNA from 2 species